GGCCGGGCCGUGUCUAUCGGUUACUCCGCUCUACCUCUACUGUAUGAGUAAUGCUCUUCUUUCUCUCUGGCUCUCUGCUACUCCGUACGUCGAUUCCAGAUUGGAGCAUUGAUUUCUUUCAAAUUCUUCAACAAUCAACAUGAAGUGUUCAAGAGAGCCAUACUACAGCCUGGGCCACCUCAAGCUUUUGCACUAUAGAAAGUUCAGGAAGUUAUAAAACCUCUGCAGGAAUUAUAAUGAAGCAACAGGGGUUAUUCGUCCACGUCAUAUUCAUGGUGAUAAGUGCAGGUGUCCUUCGUACUCGUCCCUACUUGGGGCCGUUCUGGGUGUUGGAACUCAACAGUUCAUUAUGUUUUCUUGUAUAUUGUGCAAUCAUCUGCAGUACAGUUGGGACCAAAUAAUGCAGUAUGGGCAAUCAAUUGAUGACAGUGAAACUACCAGGUGUCGAAAGUUGAAGUUAGCCCAUGUGAUAUAGAACGUAAUGGUUAAGUUUCACCAAUGGUCUAGGCUUCAAGUUAAUCCGGCCAAGUGCAAGAUUUUUUCCAUGCAGAACAAUAUGUUAGCAUGUUGUGAUACAAUCAUGCUCCCAAUAAUAUAUUUAGGAGUACCUUGAACAAUUGGACGAGUACUUGCUGAAUGAAGAACUCUAAAUGAAAAAAUUUCAAAAAGAAUAAUUCCUUUUGACUGUCUUGAAUAUCUGCAGCUUUUGAAGCAUCUCUUUUCUUUUAAUUCUUUUUGGCCGUUGUCCAUAUGGUAUUGAAGCACAUAGAAAUGAAUUGUUAACCUCUUCUAAGCACAACCACUCUAAUUGUGAGAGGGGAAAGCAGCAUGAGGAGGAAGGUGAUGUUAUUACUCCCAUUUUCACUGUUUGCUUCAAUACCUUUAAGCUAGCUCCAUCCAAUUGUAGCCCGCCCUUGAGAAACAAGGAUCCGGAUCCUCUCCAUUUCUCUUUGAAAUGGAGAGUGUCCAUUUCAUGGACAGGAUCUCUUUAAAAUAAAUCAACGCUCUAAAAAGUGCCACGUCAAUUAAAACUUAAAAUUCUCAAACUCAACUAUGGUUAACCUUUACUCAGUAAACCCACCUGCUCUAACUCAUCAAACCCUUUUUUUCUGAAAAUUUCAAAAUCUCUCUCUUCUCCAACUCAUCUCCAAGCUUCAGUCUCUCUCUCUCUUAAGCACAGAGAAGCUUUUGAACCAGAUCAUGGAGCUGAAAUUCACAUCCAAAUCGCUCCAACGCCAAGCCAAGAAAUGCGAGAAGGAGGAGAAAUCCGAGAA